AACGCACCUUGCGCUCUCUGGUAUUCCGGAGAGCAUGCCUGUUUGAGUGUCAUGAACUCUUCAACCCACCGGUUCCUUGUUGAACCGAGUUGGUGUUUGGUUUUUGAGUGUUUUGCUUUGUUUUCGGACAUAGCUCGCUCGUAAUACAUUAGCAUCUCGAUUUCGAAAUUUCGGAUUGACUCAGCGUAAUAGACUAUUCGCUGAGGACACCUUUACCGGUGGCCGUAAUUAUGAUGACAGUAGACGCUUCCAAUCCUACUAGUCAAUUUUAUGAUUAGACCUCAGAUCAGGCAGGAUUACCCGCUGAACUUAA
rnacentral:misc_RNA from 1 species